UGAGAGACUCACAGUGUUAGGGCUAGAUUAGAGAUGAUCUAACCCAAGGAUUUCUUUUUACAGGCACAGAAACUGAGGCCCAGCCAACAGCCUGGCCUGGGUUAGGUUGAGUGAUAGUGAACUGAGGGGAUGGCAGAGAUGACAUCUCUGCAGGAGAUUGAGCCUGGAGUCAGUUAGCCUCGCCAAGAGCUUUCAGAAAUUACGAGGCCACAAAAAUGCUUUUUGGCUGGAAGCGUCCAAAUGGGCCCCACCCAUCUUGCUUACAGUCGGGCCUCCUUCUCCCUACUGGACCCUGUGUUGCCAGGUGGAGAUAUGAAGUUGCAGAAAGUCUGCCCUGCUUUCUGAAGAGCAGCAAUCACUUCCACAAUCCUUUGCCUUGGCAGAGAUCCUAAAACAGCCCAUGAGAGGGAAACAAAGACAAAACAGCUACCGGUUUGUCAACCUAAGAUGCAGGUACUUUCUCUUUCUUUUCUGGGAUACACUGAGGAAGCGUUCAGUUCCGGGAACAAGAGCUAACGCGUUCCCCCAUGUUUCCCUAAGUGAGAC
rnacentral:lncRNA from 1 species